UAGGGAAUCUUCCGCAAUGGACGAAAGUCUGACGGAGCAACGCCGCGUGAGUGAAGAAGGAUUUCGGUUCGUAAAACUCUGUUGUUAGGGAAGAAAAAAUGUAUAGUAACUAUAUACAAAAGAGACGGUACCUAACCAGAAAGCCACGGCUAACUACGUGCCAGCAGCCGCGGUAAUACGUAGGUGGCAAGCGUUGUCCGGAAUUAUUGGGCGUAAAGCGCGCGCAGGUGGUUUAGAAAGUCUGAUGUGAAAGCCCACGGCUCAACCGUGGAGGGUCAUUGGAAACGAAUGAACUUGAAUGCAGGAGAGAAAAGUGGAAUUCCUAGUGUGGCAGUGAAAUGCGUAGAGAUUAGGAGGAACACCGGUGGCGAAAGCGGCUUUUUGGCCUGCAACUGACACUGAGGCGCGAAAGCGUGGGGAGCAAACAGG
rnacentral:rRNA from 1 species